GUUUGCUCGUGUCUAUCUUCAGACGACUUGAGUGGAGUUUGCGCUGCUGCUUGACGAGACAAACCUUGUGUGUUGUGUGUGUGUGUGUGUGUGCGUGUGUGUGUGUGUGUGUGUGAAGGAGGGCUGAAUUUCAUGUGCAUUUCCAAUUUACAUAUUCUAUCUUAAAUAUGUAAAUGAAUUAACGGAGGGCUGAGAUGAAACAAACUGGAAAACUGGAGUAAUUGGAUAAAUUUAAUCACAAGAAUAUAAAUUUUAGAGUCAACCCAAACAGGUAGCUUAGAGCUCAUGUAUCAAAAAUCCCCUUCGUAACAUAGUCUGGUGUCUUUGAUUUAUUUUUAAAUAAUCCCUUUAAAAGAUAAGGCAUCCAUUUCAAUUCCUGGUUUUAAAAUUUAAAAUGAUGAAAGAAAAGAAAAGAUCAAUCCUAUCUGUAGAUCAAUCCCUUCUGUCGGUCCAUGACAGGAUUGGUAAAAAAUAUAUAUACAUGUUAUUUACCAAUCCUGUCGGAGGAAUUAUAUGCAUCCAAAACUCGGAGCCGUUUGGGGCAAACAGGGUUGUAAAAAGUGCUUCUAUUAUAAACAGACCCAGAAAAAUACACACAUUUAUGUUGCUGAGCAGGAAACCGUGUGGCUGCUGCAUGAUUGGCUGACAGAGUUUAGACAGUAAAACUCUCCUGAGCAUCAAACUGGGGUCUCAAUCGGUGAUUUUUUAUGAGUUUAUGACAAAACGUCCUGCCGGUGACGUUGUCCAGCAGAUCUCCAGUGAGCCUUACAGGUAUGACUUACUGCAACGAACCUCAUGUUGGUUACCUUCAGUUUGAAUCUGGCAUCAGAAUCAAACUGUGAAUCUGAUGCCAAACAUUUAGGAAUCUCUGUCGAUCUUUCCUCCCAGCAGCUGUUAGACUUUAUAACAAACUAAAUCAGUGUUUACAUCCCUGCUGGCACCAAACAGUCAUUUAUUCUGCUUCUGCUCAUUUUACAUAACAUUUCUGCUGUUGCUGCACAUCUGUUUUUCUGAUAUACUGCACUCUAAACACGCUGUUGUCUUUUUAAUGUUCAACACAUAAAUAUUAUGUACAGUAAACAAAACCUCAUUUGCACAUCAUCCCUUGGAUUGAGAGUAUUUCUAUUAAUAACUACACAAUAUUAUAUGUUAUAAUCAUGUACUGUAUAUUAUUAUUGUUGUUGUUGUGUGUGUGUAUAUAUAUUUAUUUAACACUUUUGGACCUUCAGUGGAUCCUACAUGUCUUGAUGCAGCUGUUACACCUGCAUCUUCACUCUGUGGGAUAAUAACAGUUAUUUCUACUCUAUUCUAUCCAUCUAUAGAUGUCAUAGUUGACAUCUAUAGAUGUCAUAGUUGACAUCUAUGGCUCUAACUUUAGAUGCAGUCUUCUCUCAACG